rnacentral:rRNA from 1 species
AUAGCGUAUAUUAAAGUUGUUGCAGUUAAAAAGCUCGUAGUUGAAACUUGGGCCUGGCUGGCGGGUCCGCCUCACCGCGUGCACUCGUCCGGCCGGGCCUUCCUUCUGAAGAACCUCAUGCCCUUCACUGGGCGUGCUGGGGAAUCAGGACUUUUACUUUGAAAAAAUUAGAGUGUUCAAAGCAGGCCUUUGCUCGAAUACGUUAGCAUGGAAUAAUAAAAUAGGGCGUGCGUUUCUAUUUUGUUGGUUUCUAGAGACGCCGCAAUGAUUAACAGGAACAGUCGGGGGCAUCAGUAUUCAGUUGUCAGAGGUGAAAUUCUUGGAUUUACUGAAGACUAACUACUG